UCAUAGUCUCCAAUAGGAUUACCAUUAGUUAGAUACUUAUGCCUAAUUACAACAUAUAAGUUAAACAGUUAUUUUAACUCAGAAAAAUGCCAAAAUGAAAUUAAUUUCUAAAAACCAUGUAAAAAUAAUUACCUUUUUAGCAAUGGUAAAUUAGCAUUUAAAUGUGAACACUAUGAACAGUUACAGAAGAAAUUAAGUUAAAACAGAAAUAAAACAAACAGCACCUAUAAGAGAGUCACUUUUAACUGCACUUAUGCAAGGCAGGCAGCAGGCCAACUCUUCAAGCAUCUUGCUCUUUGUUAUCUUUUUCCUUUGUCAGCCUCAACUGCUUCUUCUUCCUCUUCAUCUGCUCUUUUCUCUUCUAAUAUUAAAUUGUGAUACACGGUCACCAGCUUCCCAGCAGUGAAGGUUUUCAGUCUAUUUCUGGUUGUUGAAUGGAUGAUUUUCAAACCGACCAAUUUCAUUCCUCACAUGCAGUCGUACACAGAAGUGUUCAGCAUUUCUGCCACUGUACUUAGAGUUCAAGGAGGACAACCCUCUCCACUAUGAUGAAGGAGCAGCUGUUUUGAUUCAACUUCUGGGACUGCACUCGACAUUGUUUUAUAACUGAACAGGCUGAUUCUUGCUUUAUAAUUUGCUACCUCCAUUAGAACUGUUUGUCCAUUUAUAUAGCCUUUAAAAUUUGCACAAUCACUACGUCACAAGCUGAAUCAAAUUGAUCAUCAGAAAGCUCUUGGCCCUGGAAGCGCAGAUCAAGAAGGUAAGCAGCAUUAUGUAUGUGAGUGAUCACUUGUUUUUUCUGUGAUAUUUAUUUUGUCUAUUUUCUUCUUUUCAGCUGUCACACAACUGAACACAGUCCACUUACAAAUAAGUUCCUUAACAUUCUGAAACUGUUCUUGGCAUCACACAGUUUAGCAGUGUAUCAUUUUCUGUAUUCUGCAGAGACUGAGCUACAGUUCAAAUAGUUUUGAGUUUGGCAUCCAAAAGACAGUCAUCAAGAAACUCAGUACGGAUUACUUGGGGUUGAAACCCAAUUACUCCUUCUUCAACAGCAGCUGAUUGAAGAGCCCUCUUGCUUACAUGAAGAUCUUUGAGACUUUUAAUAGAAGUAGAUUAUGACAAGGCUUACUAUGUGCAGAUAUCAGAGGAGUAGCCAUUUUAGUCUGGAUCUGUAAAAAGCAACAAAGAGUCCUGUGGCACCUUAUAGAUGAACAGAUGUAUUGGAGCAUGAACUUUCGUGGGUGAAUGCCCACUUCAUCAGACGCAUGUCUGUGCGGAUGAAAAUUUCAGAUCUUCAGUAUCACCAAUGAAAAGCUACAUUGUACAGGCAGCACAUCCAUAACACAGAAGGUGUGGAUACAUAUUUAUCAACAAAGCCCAAGUAGUUUUCAUAUUAGGUGCAUUAUUUAUUGACCCAAUUCAUUAAGUAUAUUUUUUAACUGGUCAGCAACACAUUGGGUAUAUAUUUUCUAUUAAAAAACCUCAAUACCAAUUUGACGAACAUCUGAAGACUUUCUAGGAGUAGGAAUUUUCAAUGAUGAAGCAGACUGAACAACAAUUUUUGUUUAUUAGAAGAUGAAUUAAUGGAAUUAACUUCACUAUCAUCUACAGACUCCAUGCAUCAUGCUGCUGCUACUGAAGAUGAAGCAGAAUACAUAAAAGGAAACAAAUUUUGAUGUACACCAGUUUUCCCUUUCUUGCUGUUAGUCUAACAGUUUAUCUUCAACAGCAGCUGGACAAACAUCACAAUAAUUCAACCAAUGUUUCUCCAUUCUGUGUGUCAUACUCAGAAGAAAAGAACUUGCUCUUAGCUUUAACAGUUUUCCCCAUGUUCACGUCUAGUGAAAAAUUUCCAUACAAAUGGUUUUGGCUUUCCCCACCUCUGAAUAAUAAAUGAUGUCACUGUUACUAAUAUCUUACUACACCUCUACCCCGAUAGAACGCAGUCCUUGGGAGCCCAAAAAAAUCUUACUGCAUUAUAGGUGAAACCGCGUUAGAUUGAACUUGCUUUGAUCUGCCGGAGUGCGCAGUCCCGCUCCCCCCGGAGCACUGCUUUACUACAUUAUAUCUGAAUUUGUGUUAUAUCAGGGUAGAGGUGUCCUUAUGGAAUGCUCUCUAAAUUCUGAAGCAUCUUGUAUUUCCGUCAAGCAGUAGCCAUUCAAAUUGGUUUCUAAUUGCUGCAGUUACAGAAGACUGCAGCUAAUCAAAAUGUUUCCAGGUAUGCUGCCCCCUCCCCUCAAGUCUUACAGACUCCAAGAUUACAUUGAGGGGGAAGGAGCACACAGCCCCUCCCUGCAGCAAACACAGCAGACUCAUAAGCAAUAGCAGGAGGAGAAUCAGAACAGGAAAAGAGGGGCCUCUACAGCCAUGUGAUGUCUCACCCCCUCAUUAGCAUAGAAUUUUUCACAUCAGCAAGGUUUGGCUGGGGAUACAUGGCGUUAUAAAGGGGAUGCUGUAGUUGUUGAAAGGGGAGGAGGAGGGAUUUAUUUAUGUGGGCGUUUAUUGUGGAUUGUUUGCUUUGCUCAGGAUGAGGGAGGUGCGUGGGGGGUUUAAUAGCAGUGAUACUUUUGUUUAUUAAGGGAGAGACUUACUGGCUGUGCAUCUGGUGCAGGAGAAGUUUUAAUGACUCUGAACCCUCCUUUCCUUCCCCCAUUCCCGUCUUGAUUUAAUUUCUGUAUGUUUGUCUAAUCACUUUAGAGUGCUGGCUCUUUGGGGCAGGGACACUGCUUAACUUGUUCAAUGUGCUUUGUAAACCGCCAUGUACAGUGGUGGCCUGAUAUACACAAAGAUACACACUGUAUGCGUGUUUGUUCUAGAAGAUUAUAGCAAUUCAAGAGGCUCAACUUUCAGUUUACCUUCCCCCCCCUGCUCCCACAACAGGUGUCAUUAGUAUGUAGUAAAGAGACUGAAGAUGACAUUUAAGUAGGCUUGCUAACAAAUAGCACCAUGAUGCAACCAAAAAGGUAGACCACCACUUAUCCCAACAAGAAUGACCUGAUGUAUCUGACAAUAUUUGACAGUAAUCAAAUAAUAGGCAAUCAACUGACUGGCUUGCCAACCCUAAGUCAGCCUUACCUGGGAAAUGAGAAUUCUACUUAAAACUAAGAAAAAAUUAAAGUCCAACUGACUUUUCACUAUAAAUGCAUUUACCUUAUUUCACUUCUCUCAGCAUCAGAGGAUGAAGCUAAACUUGUUAGUUCCCCUUUGGGGUUUCAAUUCCCAACAUUGCAGGCGUGAUUUAUAUAUAAACCAGAGAACUAUUUUAAAAUUGAUUUUUUGUUAAAGCUCAUUCAUAAAGAGGCAGCUUACUCCACAAAGGGGCUCUGAGGAUUCAUUAGUUCACAUUUAUACAGCUAAGUAAAAGCUGUGUAUUUAUGUGGUUUAUGAUAUAUAGCCAAUGAAAAACAGUUUAUCAUUUUAACCCUCACUCUUAUUGCAAAGGAUAUUAUUGAAGGAGACAAAUCACCUAGAGGAUAGAACAGUCCACUGGAAGUCAAUAACUAGUGUUCUAGCCUCUGCUCAGACACCAGCUCUAUAGCACUGGACUAGUCAUUCAUUCCCUCUACAUUUGUUUUGUCCACUUAAACUACAACAAAGUGGUGCACUGACAUGGCCAAGGUCACACAAAGGAUCAACAGGCUUUGCUAGGAAGAGAACACAGGUCUGAUUAUUCCCUGUCCUACACCUUAGCUUCUUGACUAUUCUGCCUCUAAAAAUAAAAACAUGAAUGAGGCUUAAGAGGCAGUCUCCACGUCUCCUUGAGUUCACGAGAGAUGAGGUAAUGAGUGAACUUGAGACAGCCCUUUCCUGUGCCAGGACAGAUUUAGGCUCUGCCUAAAAGGGAUGGAUUCUCCCAUUGCUUUGACGGAUAAGUGUUCAGCUACUGCUGACUUGAGUUCUGGCUUUAUUUAUUUUUAUGGCUCUUCAAUAGGAAGCAAGUCUAAUCCUGAAUUUGCAAAUGCAGUUGCAGGUCUUACAAGUGUAAUUAUUGUCAGGGGGAAGAGUUAUAGGCGUGUCCUCAUGACGUGUUCUUUUCUCCUGCAGACACUUCACACACCAUUCCUCAGAAUGGAACAUAGGCUCAUGGCACAGACCUCUCCAUCUGGGUCUGUCCAGCUCAACAAGUUUCCAGGUUUUAAUGUCUAUCUUGCAUGCUUUGAGGUUGGCCUUCAAGGUGUCUUUAUAUCUGAGGAUGGGCUGACCCUUAGAGUGGGCUCCUAUGCUCAGUUGGCUGUACAGCAUUGCUUUUGGUAUAUGGGAAACCUCCAUGCAGACCACGUGUCUGACUCAGUGAAGUUGAGCCCCGAUGAGCAUGAUCUUGAUGCCAGGGAUUUGGCACCUCUCCAGGACUUCAGUAUUGGGGAUUCUGUCUUGCCAACUUGAUGUUACAGGUGGAUCUCAGGUGAUCAAGGUGGAAGCUUUCCAGCUGUUUGAUGUGGUGCCUGUAGAGCAUCCACGUCUUGCAGCCAUAAAGGAGUUAGGUGAGUACAACAGUGGGGUAGAUUUUGAUCUUGGUUCUGAGGCAGACUCCAUGCUCGCUCCAGAGCCUGCAAAAUGCCAGGCUGACCUUUGCCAGAUGCUGAGUGAUCUCAUUGUCCAACAUGGUGUUGCUGGAAAGUGUGCUACCCAGGCAUCAGAAUUUCCUGAGUUAGCUGAGGGGUGUGUUGUCAGUUGUGAUGAGGGGAUCAUGGCACUUGUGAUGCUGGCUGGUACAUAAUCUCCAUCUUUUUCAGGCUGAGGGUGAAACUGAAGCAUUCUGAGACAUAGAUAAAGUGGUCCACGAUAAGUUGAAUGUCCAUCAGCAUGUCUGCAAUGAGGGCACAGUCAUCAACAAACAGGAGCUGUUUGAUGACCUUGGUGCGGGCCCUGAGUCACUGUAGAUUGGCUAGACCCCCAUCCAAUCUGAACCAGAUAUGUACACUUCGGUCAAGGUCCUGGAAUGCGAACACAAGCGUGGCUGAAAAGACAAUAGCAAAGAGGACUUGGGCCACUGUUUGGUGCCAUAGGUGACAUGGAAGGCUUCUGAUGAAUUCCAACAUGCCAUCACCCGGUCAUCAUGAAAUGAAUGGAUGACAGCAACAGUCUUCUCUGGGCAACCAAAUUUAUGAAGGAGUUUCCAUAUGCUCUCGUGAUUCACCACGCCAAAGGUCAUAGGUCUGUUCCUGAGCCAUCUCCCACAUUUGUCAGGCUGCAAAAAUCAUGUCCAUGCUGCCAUGGCCAGCAUGAAAGCCACACUGUGACUCUGGAUUCACCAAGUGCACUAGGUGAGAGAUGAGCCUGUUGAGGACAAUCUGUGCAAGGAUCUUCCAUGCUAUAAACAGCAGUGAAAUUCCACAAAGAUUGUCCCUUCCUUUUGUAUGGAUGGACUAUGAAAGCAUCCUUAUAUUCCUUAGGCAAGGUACCCUGUUCCCAUAUAGUCUUGAAAAGGCUAGUGAGUUUCCUGAUCAGGUGGGCACCUCUACAUGUGUACUUCCAGUGGAAUGCUGUCAGGGCCUGGAGACUUGCCUGUGGACAGCUGCUCAAUGGCCUUAGUAAUCUCAUCUAAAGAAGGGGCCAUAGCUCCUCCAGGAUAGAACACUGCAGGAAUGGGUUGAUGGCUUUGUUGGACAUAGUGGAUUGACAGUUCAGGAGACUGUCAAAGUCUAAAAUAGGAACUGAUGAAAGCUACAAUGGGCCUGACAUGGUUGCACCUAGGCUGCUUUUAAUAGCACAGCUGACAGAGCCUGGGGCUUGCUCUCCACACAGAUUUGCUCCAGUUCAACUAAAGUUGUAGUGUUGUGCUGAUUUAGCUAAGUGAGUGUGAAGUUUUACAUCAGUCUAGCAGUUCUUUUGCUAAACUGGUGCAAUCUCACACCUUUAGUAACAGUGAUGCCUCGUCUGUGCUUAGACCAUCUCUUCAAUCUAUUCGGGUGAGGACUGUGGUAUGUCUUGCUAGUCAGCACACGGCAGCCCUGCUGGCAGCCACCAAAGGCGCAAAGGCAGAGUGCCCUCAGAGCAUGGACAUGCCACACAGAUCAGGGCACAAGGUACCAGUGAGAGCGGCGGGAACCACGGCCCCACUUCAGGACACUGUUUCGGAAGGAAGUUCCCCCCCCCUCCACGUUACACACACGCAGGGCAGGUGGGCGCCGCGGGGCGCUCUGGGCCCCAGGAUGUGACACUUGCUCCCCCACGGACUCUGACAGAGAUCAAGCUGGAGCAGCUUUGCGGGGAGGCUGAGGCCGCCCUGCCGCCGAGGUUCAGCAGGAAGGCCAACGACCGAAUGGGCUACGGAGACUGAAUUCCCCUUGAGGAGGUUUAUGCUGGGCAGGAGUGAGGCAAUAUUCUUGGCACAGCCACCCAGAACCUGCAUCAGCUUUCUAGAUGCCCUUCACCUGCGGGGAGCAGAACAUGGCCAUGCUUGUUCCCAAUAUGUCUGUCCUGUUCUUUCUGAUUAAGAUGAAGCAGUUGACUAAGGAGACCAAAUACAAGGCCAUUGGAUUGUUACGCACAGCUAUUCCUAGAACCCAGUACUGUGCCUGGAUACAUGAAAGAGCCAUGGACACAUUUGACUGCAACACAUUGAGAGCAUUAACGAUGUGAGGGUGGUCUACCUGUUGCACCUGUAACCAGCCAGAAGCUGCUGACAGAGUAGCCAAAACUCUGCUCCAUGGGCUUGAGUAGGACCUUGACCAGAGGGAUUUCCAGGCAGCCAAGGCCUUUCCUCAAGGAAAUCCGAGACAGACCAGAGGGCCGAGGUGACCAGACCUGGAGACAAGAAGUCGUCCAUAGAAUUGGAACAGAAGCCAGACAACAGGAACCAGGACUGGAACUGAACCCUCAGGAAUUAGGAACACAGGAACCACCAACAGGAGCCACCAGCCAAGAAGUUGCCAACAGGACCAAAGAUCUUCUGGAACAGGUUAUUAAAAUAUGCAAAUUAUCUCAUGCAACUGUAACAACCCACCACAUGACUCAUCAGCAGGUUUGAACAGGACCUUCCUCACUACAACACAGAUCUCCUCUUCUUGACAUGCUGUGAUGAGCAAUGAAAUAGUUAACAUUUCCACUUCAACUUCCACUCCACAGCAUCAUUACUGGCACCCACUGAAAUGAAUGAGGCAGGUUCCACCUCAGCUGUUGUUUCAGACUCUGCAAAUUCAGGCCGAGGUCUCCACAUCAGUUAUACUCCCUUAACAUUCUGAUUUUUCCAUCUUUACUCACAUUAGUAGUCCUGAAUGAGUUCAAUGGGGAUUAACAGGACCACUCAUGUAGAUACUACUCAACAUGACUGAGGGGGGCAGGAUCAGGGCCUUGGUUUGUUUUUAUAUGGACUAGUGGUUAAAAUCAAUUAAAAAAAAUGAAAAUUGCAAAGAGAAAAGCAGCACUUUGGGUAGAUCAUGUCCAAUCUUCAACACACAGGCACUCAUCUGCUAGCUACUCUCUUGGUUCACUCAAUAUCACAUGCCUGCUUGUGGACAGAUAACACCUUUUUCAUCCUUCCCUUCCCUUGACUUUUAUUAUCGUUACCCAUCCAGAACAGUCUUUGAUAUAUUCCACUAUAUGUGAAUUGUUAGUUUAUCUGCCUUAAGUCUGGCAUGGUAUUACUCAAACAUCACGAUUUCUUCUUUUGUUUUUCCUCCGCUCUUGCUUUUUCUUUGCCAUGAUCUAAUCUCUCACUCCCCGGGCUUCCUAUAUCACUGUUUAAACUUGUUUGAACUGACAGCUGAUCCAUUGCCUCCUUAGCAGAGUAUCUCAUCCAUUCAAAAAAAGACUUCAAUCAGUUGGCAUUUUUAACAGCGAGGGAAAGGUCACUGUUGCUUUGUGGAAACCACCUGAUCUUCAUUCUGGCUUUGAACAAUACAGCUAAAAUGUUUUUAAUUUUAUUUACUGUUGCAAUGUCUUGUUGCAGGGGAUGGAUGAACCAGAUAUAUCCCUGGAGAGGAAAACAAAUGAGCCAGGUGAAGCACUGUAACAUUAUUCUUUAGAUAAACAGUCAGUUUUUCCUGUCUUCAACAUACCAGUGCAUGAAAAAGGACUGGGACCUGUAACCCCGUUCUCUUCAUACCAUGCUCAUUGCAUGAGGAAAACAAUCAGUGAGGACUUAUGUGUUUGGGUGUGGUGGGCUAUAUCUUAAUCCACUAUUAAUGAGACAAAACACAGUGAAGGAAUUUAAAUAAUAAAAUUAAUGCAGUUA